rnacentral:hammerhead_ribozyme from 1 species
AUUUAGCUGACGAGUCUCAAACAGGACGAAAUACGUUCUUUGGAU